rnacentral:tRNA from 1 species
AGGGAUGUAACUCAGUGGUAGAGUGCUUGCCUAGCAUGCAUGAGGCCAUGGGUUCCAUCCCCAUCUCUGCUG